UGUUAUGUGCCAUUUCCCCUGUGUCUGGGUCCAAAUUUCCCUCUUCUUAUAAGGACACCAGUCACUGGUUUAGGACCUACCUUAAUCCAGUACGACUUCCAUCUUAACAUGGUUAUAUUUACAAAGACCCUAUUUCCAAGUAAGGUCACAUUCACAGGUACCAGGGGUUAGGACCCCAAAUCUAUUUGGGGUACACAAUUCAACCCACAACAUCAUCCUUUGAAACCCAGCUCAGUUUGCCACAUUCUCCAGGAAGUCUCCAUCACCUACCUAUGGCAUGAAUGUCUGAUGCUCCCAAUCUCUGCUGUAGCUGCAUCACCUUUGUCCCUGCGGUUGAGAUACUUGUGAACUUACUAAUUUAGAGCUUGUGAGGGACAGGACUGGAACUCAAACCUUGUCUGUAUGGUCCAAAGCCCUUGGUCAGUACCUGUGUUACUCAUCAGAAAACAAUCUAUAAGCUGGGCACAGUGGCUCAUCCCUGUAAUUCCAGCACUUUGGGAGGCUGAGAUGGGAAGAUCGUUUGAGGCCAGGAAUUCGAGACCAGCCUGAUCAACACAGCAAAACACUGUCUCUACACAACUUUUUUUUAUAAAAAAUUAGCUGAGUGUGGGGGUAGCCAUAUAGUCUCAGCUACUGGGGAGGCUGAGGUUGGGAGAUUACUUGAGCCAAGGAGUUUAAGGCUGCAGUGAGCUAUGAUCAUGCCACUGCCCUCCAGCCUGGGUGACUGAAUGAGACUCUGUCUCAAAAAAAAGAAAGAAUGAACGAAAGAAAAGAAAGAAAGAGAGAGAGAAGGAAGGAAGGAAGAAAGAAAGGAAGGAAGGAAAAGAAAGGAAGAAAGGAAGGAAAGAAAGAAAGAAAGAGAAAGAAAGACAAUAAUCUAUAAAUAUUUCCCUGUUUAAAUUGAACUGAUAAGGAGAAACAAGAUAAGGUGAGGGAGAGAUUAGCUGUAUGGUACAUUCUGAAAUGAUUUGCAAGCCAUUAGAAUAAAAUGAAAGCUGCCCUAGUAAGAACUAAAAUACAGCUUAUCUGCUUUAGUUCCUCACUUACAAUAGUUGGAGUUUUGGUCUCUCGCAUCCUUUAGAUGGGACAGCUUUGAAAUGCUCUAAAGGGCUAAGAAGAGUCUUGGAGACCCAAGAAUGGCCCUGUCCAUUGGCCGCUCUGGCCUCAAGGGUCAGGGGUGGUGGAACAAUCCCCAUUCCCUCUGCUCUGGUGACAACCCCAGUCCCACUCUCUGACUGCCCUGUUGGAAACUCAAAACUAAAUACACAAACGGAAGAAAUUCUGUGUCAGGACUGCCAUGGGGUAGUCUGGGUCCCCAUCGAGCUUCAUGAAAAAGUUGUUGGCCAGGAAACAGGGUCGCUGGCCCAGAGCCUGCGCUUGCUCCAUCCAUGAUCUAAGCAUUUAACAGAAGGAGCUACUGCUGUCUGCCUGGAGACAAGCGAGUUAAGAAUAACUUUGCAGAGGCUGAGCUUUACAGGCCUAGCCAUCCUGAAAUAGCUGAGACAUGAUCAUCCAUUACCUUGAUGCCUGUCUUUCAGGGAGACAGUUCCAGAGACUGGCCCAGGAAAACAAAUUAUAUAUUCCUCCUCAUUAAAAUGUCUCAGCAAGACCCUUAAAUCAGGCUUUGAGGUCCAGGUUCCAACUACUUCUCAGUUAGAAUUUCUCCUGGGCGUUUUGGUGGUUCUUGCCAAAUUGGGUAGUUCCCAAUGUGGGGACUGUUUCUAAAUCAGGGUCUGAGAGCAACCAGCCUCCUUAGGAAAACGACGAAAGAAAUUCAAAUGGAAAAGAAGUAUUAAUUAGCCCUUAUAUAGCACUUCAUGGCUUUCUCAGGUGCAAUUUUAAGUGCUUUACAUAGAUAGGUAUUGAGAUAGACUAUAUUAUUGUCCCAUAUGUUCUCUGUACCUCUUUGUGGGAGGAUUACACCUCCCUACCAUGUUGACAUCAAGCUUAGCCAUGUAACUGUUUUGCCAAGGAAAUGUAGACAGAAGACACAUACAUCAUUUUCAAGAAGAAGCCUAAAGAGCCGUUUCAUGGAUCCACCAUCAACCAUACUUCCUGCUGCCCUAACACCAGCAAUGAUGUAGAUAAGGGCUCCUCCUUCAGUCUGGUUCCAGAGGGAAAGGCUAAAGCCAGCCUGCAAUGGACAUGUGAUAUAAGCAAGAAAUACAUCUUUGUUCCUGUGCACAGGGCCCACAGGAAAGUCCACUCAUCUGUGACCUGCCACUCAAUGCAAGUGCAGCAUGUUCUGGGCAGCUGCUCUGAGCUGCUUCACUUUUAUUUCCCAGGCCUAGCAGGCUCCAGGGUGAGGCCUCCCAGGGCACACAGGCCAGGCUCUCUAAGCCCUUGAAGCUUGGGACCUCAUCUGAAAUGGAGA
rnacentral:lncRNA from 1 species